AGGGUGCAAGCGUUAAUCGGAAUUACUGGGCGUAAAGCGUGCGCAGGCGGUUUUGUAAGACAGAUGUGAAAUCCCCGGGCUCAACCUGGGAAUUGCAUUUGUGACUGCAGGACUAGAGUUCAUCAGAGGGGGGUGGAAUUCCAAGUGUAGCAGUGAAAUGCGUAGAUAUUUGGAAGAACACCAAUGGCGAAGGCAGCCCCCUGGGAUGCGACUGACGCUCAUGCACGAAAGCGUGGGGAGCAAAC
rnacentral:rRNA from 1 species